AUCGCUUCUCGGCCUUUUGGCUAAGAUCAAGUGUAGGAAAAGCUUUCACUCAAGAUACUUAUGUGGCAUAUUGUUCUUAGUAGAAACCUCCUCUUAAUCUGUACUAUAUACUUUGAUGAAAUUGCAUGACUGACUUGGCACAUUUGCCACCUAAUGUAAAUAGUGU
rnacentral:snRNA from 1 species